UCCUACGGGGGGCAGCAGUGAGGAAUAUUGGUCAAUGGUCGGGAGAUUGAACCAGCCAAGCCGCGUGAGGGAUGAAGGUACAGAGUAUCGUAAACCUCUUUUGUCAGGGAACAAAGGCGGGGACGUGUCCCCGGAUGAGUGUACCUGAAGAAAAAGCAUCGGCUAACUCCGUGCCAGCAGCCGCGGUAAUACGGAGGAUGCGAGCGUUAUCCGGAUUUAUUGGGUUUAAAGGGUGCGCAGGCGGUCUUUUAAGUCAGCGGUCAAAGCCCGGGGCUCAACCCCGGCCCGCCGUUGAAACUGGCAGC
rnacentral:rRNA from 1 species